rnacentral:rRNA from 1 species
UGCGCAGGCGGUUAUAUAAGACAGAUGUGAAAUCCCCGAGCUUAACUUGGGAACUGCAUUUGUGACUGUAUAGCUAGAGUACGGCAGAGGGGGAUGGAAUUCCGCGUGUAGCAGUGAAAUGCGUAGAUAUGCGGAGGAGCACCGAUGGCGAAGGCAAUCCCCUGGGCCUGUACUGACGCUCAUGCACGAAAGCGUGGGGAGCAAACA